rnacentral:rRNA from 1 species
GACGAACGCUGGCGGCGUGCCUAACACAUGCAAGUCAACUUGACUGAAGGAGCAAUCUGACAGUAGAGUGGCGCAAGGGUGCGUAACGCGUAAGUAACUUGCCCAAGGUAAGGAAUAACGUCGAGAAAUCGGCGCUAAUACCUCAUAAUGCAGCGGAUCCGCAUGGAUAUGUUGUUAAAGGUUUACCGCCUUGGGAUAGGCUUGCGUCUGAUUAGCUAGUUGGUGUGGUAACGGCACACCAAGGCUACGAUCAGUAACUGGUCUGAGAGGAUGAUCAGUCACACUGGAACUGAGACACGGUCCAGACUCCUACGGGAGGCAGCAGUGAGGAAUAUUGGGCAAUGCUCGAAAGAGUGACCCAGCAACGCCGCGUGGAGGAUGAAGGUAUUCUAUAU